CGCCAAUGGACCUGCGGUCUCCGGGACGACGCGGAGGGUCCGCGCUCUGCUGCCACUGCGCCCCCGCCCCGAGUCCGCACUGCAGAGAGUAGGGGCGAGCAGGCGCCAGCGCGCUGGCCCACGUGCCACGCUGAGAGAGGGACCAGGAGAAGGAGCGAGAGCGGGCGGGGGCGGGAAAGAGGGGCGCCCGACCCCGCGGCAGCUCCGCGCCGCCCCGCCCCCCUCCUGCUCGGACCUCGACCAGAAAGGAUCCCGACCCAGAAGCUGUGGAGACCUGGGCCGUCUGCUGUUGCCCUGGGAGUUGGGCCAGAUUUAUGUGAAUCACACACUGAUCAUUCCCCAGUAAAUUGGACUUUGCAGAGAUUGGGGACAUGCCGUUGACCCUGUUGCAGGACUGGUGUAGGGGGGAACAUCUGAACACCCAGAGGUCCAUGCUCAUCCUGGGUAUUCCUGAGGACUGUGGUGAGGAUGAGUUUGAGGAGACUCUUCAGGAGGCUCUUAGGCACCUGGGCAGGUAUAGGGUCAUUGGCAGGAUGUUUAGGAGGGAGGAGAAUGCCCAUGCGUUUCUCUUGGAGCUUGCCCAAGACAUUGACUAUGCUUUGAUCCCCCGGGAAAUACCAGGAAAGGGAGGGCCAUGGGAAGUGGUUGUAAAACCUCGUAACUCAGAUGGCGAAUUUCUCAAUAGACUGAAGUGCUUCUUAGAGGAGGAGAGGAGGACAGUGUCAGACAUGAACAGAGUCCUCAGAUCAGACGCCAAUUGUCCUGCUCCGAGAGUGGCCAUAUCACCUGAUCUCUGGACCUGGGCCCAGGCCCUGGGGGCAGCAGUGCAGCCUCUGCUAGAACAAAUGUUGUACAGAGAACUAAGAGUGUUUUCUGGGAACACCGUGUCCAUCCCAGGGGCACUGACCUUUGAAGCCUGGCUUGAGCACACCACUGAGGUGCUAGAGAUGUGGCAGGUGCCUGAGGGGGAAAAGAGGCGCAGGCUGAUGGAAUGCUUGAGGGGCCCUGCUCUGCAGGUGGUCCAUGGGCUGCGGGCUAACAAUGCUGCCAUAACUGUGGAGGAGUGCCUGGCAGCCCUGAAGCAGGUGUUUGGACCUGUGGAGAGCCGUAAAAUCGCCCACAUGAAAUUUUGUAAGGCCCAUCAGGAGGCAGGAGAGAAAGUCUCUAGCUUUGUGUUGCGUUUGGAACCCCUGCUCCAAAGAGCUGUAGAAAAAAAUGCGGUAUCACGAAGGAAUGUGAAUCAAGCUCGCCUGAAACAAGUCUUAAGUGGGGCCACCCUUACUGACAAGCUUCGAGACAGGCUUAAGCUGAUGAAACAGCGAAGGAAGCCUCCUGGUUUCCUGGCACUGGUGAAGCUCCUGCGUGAGGAGGAGGAGUGGGAGGCCACUUUAGGUCCGGAGAGGGAGAGGCUGGAGGGGUUGGAAGCAGGCAUAAGGCCGUCUGCCAGAACCAGUGCAUCCGGGGCAGUGUCUUUCCCUGCCCCUGGCAACACUCUUCAGGCCAGGCCUUCCCAAGGGUCCCAGCGCGGGAGGUGUGGAGGCCAACAGUGGAGGGAGGCUGUGCCAAGGGCCAGCUCUCGAGGUUCAGGAAAACAGAAACACCACACAUUCUGCUAUAGCUGUGGAGAGGAUGGUCACAUCAGGGUACAAUGUAGUAACCCUCCAAACCUGCUCUUGGUAAAGCAGAAGAGACAGGCGGCAAUAGAGUCGGGAAACGGGAGCUGGGCUUGGGACAAGAGCCAUCCCAAGCCCAAGGCCAAGUAGGCUCAGGAGAACAGGGAAGCUCUUCUUACUACAGGGUGAGGAGACAAAAGACGUAUUGGAAGAAGGGGAAGACACAGUCCACACAAACAGCAGGGGACUUGAGUGGGGCAGAGGGGCAGGGCAGCCAGGCCCAGGUUGAGCACCCUCAACCUCUGCCCACUGGAAGAGACCCCAGCUACCAAGCCAAAUGCAGCUCAGUGAGGUCCAAGAACAGGGUCUCAAAGAGGCGGCUGCGACAAAAGCAAGGAUCCACUGUACCCAGCACAUGUGGUGUCCAAGCCUCAGAAGGGAACCUCAACAAGGCAGAGGCUGAAGAAGGUAAAGGUGGGGGUUCUGGCAUCGACAUUGCCAUCUGGCCACCCCCAAAUGCCCACCCUGUUGGCUCUGAGCUAAGAACGCCAACUGGCUCCCAAGCCACGUGGGACCCGGAGGAGCCUUCCCUGGGGCCGCCCCUGACAGAAGGGACCAGCGUCAGUAAGGAAGAGCUGCGCAGAACAGAGGGCCACUGGAGACCUGGAGAAAGCAGGCAAGGGGACCUGGGACUGGCCUGAUGAACCACAACUCAGCAGCUGCCGUUGCCAAAGCCAGCCCCAAACCCUGCCAACUCAUGCAGCCAGCCUGGCAACUACCAUGAGUGGCAGCCCCAGGCUGGGUGAGGGGCUCCUGAAGACGUCUGCCACCUGCACAGGCCUGGGAGACGUUAGGGGUCAUCUCAAGGGUGCCAGUCAUCUGGGACUCCCAACAAGGGGAUCCUCAUUCACCGUCACUUGGGACGGGCUGCUCCCUGUUCUGGGAAGCCCACUUGUGUCUCUGUAGACCCUGUAGCAACUCACAUGUCAAGUAAUCCCGCCCCAACACACACACACACACACACACAUACACAUACACUAGCCAUCAUUUCUGUGUAGAGCCACAAGGUGUGUGUGAACUGGCUUAGUGGGGCAGCCCCCUCUUCACCUGGGCACGUGCUGUGAGCUUCAGUGCCAGCCCAGGCUCUGUUCACUCUCGUCCAGUGCCGUGAGCUCAACUCUGUCUUCUUGGUGUUGAUUUAGACUAAUUGCUGCUUGUUUUUGUGAAGAUGUGUGUGUUCUUACCUGAGCAGUUGCCACCAGCCCACCCAAGAGACCCUGUGCCCAGUCCCAGGAGAUGUCAUGAAGGGAGGCCAGACAAGGGUGCGGCCAGCGCUCACCCAGGAACCUCGGGAAGGAAGAACUGGAGCAGGGACAUCGAGAGGGGCUGCGGGAGGCUCCACUGGGACUGUGCUCUGAUGUGCCAACCUGCUGUUACUUGUGGCUCAGUUUCCUCAGCUUGGCGGGGUGUCCCUUGCUGUGUUUUCCAGCGUCCUGUGACUGUCCUGUGUGGGCCAUAGGGCAGGGCCCCACCCCAGCCUGUCAGCCAGAGAGGAUGGGGGGAUGCCCUGGAGUGAGAGGACAAUGCCAGCGUCCAUCAUCCAGGCAAGGGGCUGAUCGUGGGACCUCCAGGAAGGGAGAUUAUGGCAGAGGAGCCUCAGCAUGGGGAACAGCUGAGGCAUCUCAUUAGGGACCCUGGAGGAGGGAGGGACCCAAGACCUGUGGGCUGUAGUGGCCUUCAGAAGUUCCAUUCUGUGUUGUCAUUCUCUUCUCUUCAAUAGUUUAAGUAAAUGGCCCCCUUCAAUAAAUUUCAUUGACCAUUUCA